GGAUUCCCUUAGUAACUGCGAGUGAAGUGGGAAAAGCUCAAAUUUGAAAUCUGGCGGUCUUGUGGCCGUCCGAGUUGUAAUCUAGAGAAGUGUCGCCCGCGCUGGACCGUGUACAAGUCUCCUGGGAUGGAGCGUCAUAGAGGGUGAGAAUCCCGUCUUUGACACGGGUUACCAGGGCCUUUGUGGUUCGCUCUCGAAGAGUCGAGUUGUUUGGGAAUGCAGCUCAAAAUGGGUGGUAAAUUCCAUCUAAAGCUAAAUAUUGGCGAGAGACCGAUAGUGAACAAGUACCGUGAGGGAAAGAUGAAAAGAACUUUGGAAAGAGAGUUAAACAGUACGUGAAAUUGCUGAAAGGGAAACGCUUGAAGUCAGUCGCGUUGGCCAGGGAUCAGCCUCACUCGUGUGUGGGGUGCACUUCCCGGUUGACGGGUCAGCAUCAAUUUUGACCGCUGGAGAAAGGCUUGAGGAAUGUGGCAGCCUUGGCUGUGUUAUAGCUUCUCGUCAGAUACGGCGGUUGGGAUUGAGGAAAAUGCAGCACGCCGCAAGGCCGGGGCAAAUUGUCCACGUUCGUGCUCAGGAUGUUGACAUAAUGGCUUUAAGCGACCCGUCUUGA
rnacentral:rRNA from 1 species